rnacentral:rRNA from 1 species
UUUAACGGCCGCGGUACCCUGACCGUGCUAAGGUAGCAUAAUCAUUUGCCUUUUAAUUGGAGGCUUGUAUGAACGGACACACGAAAACGCAACUUUCUUAUCGAGGAAAAUAAAAAUUAACCUUCAAGUGAAGAGACUUGAGUACCAUAAAAAGACGAAAAGACCCUAUGGAGCUUUACUUAAGUUAUUAAACCACAAAUAAAAAAAGCUUUUUUUUACUAAAAAAGUUUAGUUGGGGCGACUAAGGAGCACACACCACCCUCCUACUGACAAAAGACUCUAAAUCUACAAAAGAUCCACAAACGUGAAUAAAAAUCCAGCUACCCUAGGGAUAACAGGCUAAUCCUCCUUAAGAGCUCAAAUUGACAGGAGGGCUUGGCACCUCGAUGUUGGCUUAAGAUCUCUACUAAGUGCAGCAGCUUAGGUAGUAGGUUUGUUCAACCUUUAAAAUCUUACGUGAUCUGAGUUCAGACCGG